CCCAUUUAAUUUCCUCCAUUUGAUCAAGACCCCUCUUUUCCCUUCUCAUAGACAUUGGAUUUAAGAGGUGAAAAGAAGAUCAUGUGUCUUUACACUCCUAAAAAUGAUCUUUAUCGUCCUUCGUAUCUCAGUCCUCAUGAGGAACAGCUCAAGAGAUCGAGUUUCGACUUUCACCAUCUACAGAGGAAAACAGUUACGGGUAGGAAAAAUCCAAGAAACAAGACAAAGGUCUUGUUUGUCGUGUUGAAACGAAAGAUGGCAAUGAAGAACUUGAAGUUGUACAUGCAAAACCAAUGCAUUAUUGAAGAAAAUGAGAAGCUUAGAAGAAAAGCACUUGUUCUUCAUCAAGAAAACCAAAUCUUGUUUUCUCAACUCCGAAAUGCCAAAGUUAACCAACACGAUGUCAUAGUCUAAGUCUACUGAUGAUUUCUUAUGUAUUGUCGAAAUUUCAGUUUUACCCUUUUUUUUAGUGAUUGAAUAUUGAAAAACAUAAGAUGAUAAACUAUCGACACUUACUAUA